CUAUAUCCGGUGCAUCCGCCGUCCACCUCCACCACUGCACCGGUUGCUCUCUCCGCAGGCGUCGAUCUCUGGCCCGCUCGUUUGGGUCAUCCCAACCCCGUCACACUUCGUCAUAUUCUUAGGAGUUUCAGUUUCAGUUGUAAUAAGAUAGAGGAUCACACCUGUCAUGCCUGUCAUGUCGGCAAACAUGUUCGUCUUCCGUUUAAUAACUCCACCAUCAUAGCUUCUUUUCCUUUUCAGUUGAUUCAUAGUGAUGUGUGGACCUCUCCCGUUCCUAGUAAUUCAGGCUAUUUAUAUUAUCUGGUUAUUCUUGAUGAUUACUCUCACUAUGUGUGGACGUUUCCUUUACGACGAAAGUCGGAUGCACUCUCCACUUUGUCGGCCUUUUACUCCUAUGUCAGCAUGCAGUUUGGGUGUCCCAUCCUUGCUCUUCAGACUAACAAUGGAAAAGAGUUCGACAAUCUUGCUUUUCGCACCUUUCUGUCGCACCACAGCACAAUUUUUCGUCUCACAUGCCCGUAUACUUCACAGCAGAAUGGUCGAGCCGAACGCGUCCUUCGCACUCUGAACGACUGCGUUCGGACACUCCUGUUCCACGCUAAUGUGCCGCCUCGUUUUUGGCCGGAUGCACUCGCUACUACUUCACUUCUCCUUAACCUUCGCCCUUGCCGCCCACGGUGGAACUAUGCACCUCACCAUCUUCUCUUCGGUACGCCCCCAUCUUAUGAUGACUUGCGUAUUUUUGGGUGCCUUUGCUAUCCUAGCAUUGCGGACUCCGCUCCUCACAAACUCGCACCUCAUUCUGUCGCUUGCAUUUUCAUCGGCUACCCUUCCAACUCCAAGGGAUAUCAGUGCUAUGAUCCCGUCUCCCACCGUGUGUUCACCUCCCGGCACGUUUACUUU
rnacentral:rRNA from 1 species